AUUUCGAGAACAGAAGCGUAUUGGAAAGAAAAUAUCAGCAAUCUUUUUUUUUUUAUUCUGUCUAAUGACGUCGAUUCAAAUGGCAAAUGAGAUGCAAUAUGAGAGAGAAUUAUCGUGGGAAUUAUCUGUUUAGGUUUGUUACAAAUUAUGGACCUUGUUCUUUAAAAUAAACUACAUUUGAACGCCUAAAACGUCUUAUCACGUCGAUGGAAGUCGUGUAAACUGCGACGUGUAUUGACGUCAAUAUAUAGGGCGAACGCGUGUAUGACAAAUUUGAAAUACAAGAAUAAGUUAUUAUUCGCGAUCAUUCUAUUAAUUUUACGACAACCGCCACUUUUUGAUAUUUAACUAAGAAUCAAAGUCAAAUGGCGUUCUAAAAGUUUUAAUCAUGUGUCGAAAGACGGCAGUAAAUUUACUGUGGCUACAAAGUUUUCUUUGACAAUUCACAUCUAUUUCAAAUUCUCUUUGGCAAUACACUUUUCGUCGUUCGCGACACUCGUGACAUCUAGUGUUAAGUAGCGGUACUGAUAAAUCCGCUACUUGACGCUAGAUGUCGACUACGAAAAUAAUAAGCGUUUUGGUAAACUGAUGUAUGGAGUGAGCACUCUAUGUUUACUUAUUUAUUUCUCUAUGGCUUUGAUCAUGACAAGGUCCCCAUAAUUUGUGAAAAUCAAACAUGCAUUCUCACUAAUCGAUAAUAAUUCCAUAAAUCAUAAAUGCAGUAUUGUAAAUAUUUGUACAUACAUGUCCAGUGUAAUAUAAGGAUCAAUUGUUGUACAUGAACUGUUCGGUAGUUUCGUGCCCAAAACAUACAACGACAGAGUGAGGCAACGCCACCAUGAACAUCAAAACUCUUAGUAACCCUUUGAACGCCUAACCCAUUAAAGAGCGAGACUUGUUCGAUCACGCACCGAUAAAACAUUUUUUUAACACUGACUGGCAAAUACGUCAACUGGCGCGCGCGCGUACAGUCCAAUAUCAACUUUUGGCGUUCCAAGGGUUAAUGAAAGUUAUAAUGCGUAUAAAAUCCUAUGAAAAAUGAAGUAUAUGAUGGGCGUCCCUUGACACUGUCUGAACUUAAAUGAAAAAUGAAAAAAUGAAAAAAAAAUGAAAAAUAUUUAUUUCGUAACUUUUUACAUCUGUGCCGAUGCCUCUUUUUAAGUAAUAAAUAUACCUAAAUAAAAAUAAAGACAAUAUUCUUGACCUAUAGAUGCUACUAUGUUUUAUAAAUGGACGUAAUUUAGGGAAAGAUCCCAAAAAAAUAUAUUUUAAAUUUCUGUCAAAAACAAGUUAUUUUAAUAUCAACGACAUUAAUUUGAGAAUGGAUCCAGUUCGCUAAACUAUAUCCAAAUUACAUUUAUUCUCUUGAAGCCCACCAUACAAAUAAAUUGGAAGUAGAAUUUGCAAUCAAUGGUAAAGGGAAGGUUGAAAAUCUUUUGUUUCGAAAACAAAAGGACUGCAACUCUACGCCAAUAGGGGAUAUUACGCAAAACUGUGCGUAGGGGGCGCCUCCAGCACAUACUGAAUAAUAGUAUAAUUUAAUGGAUCUAAUGAUAUAAAGAAUUUUCCCUAUAGAUCCAGUUUUAACUGUCAACAUAAAUAUUUGGAUCUAACAAGAAAAACAUUUCUCACUAGAUCCAUUUUGGAUCUAUGGACUGGAUCUAUCGAGAAUGUAGGUGAGGACCUACCGCGAAACCAGAAAGUCGAAUUUUCGUUAUAAGAGGCAGAUAACGAAAUUUCGCGUUUCGCGGUAGGCCUCUGUAAGCAAACCGCCUUGAUGCAUUAAUGUCAUAGUGAAAACUUCUCAAAAAACUGUUUAAAGCAUAGUAUGGUUAAGUUACUCUAUAGAAUAUGUGAUAGUGCUGCUCUCUGGCGGCAGAACAUUACAGUAAUACUCCCUAUUGAAAAUAGUUUACAUUCAUUGAAGUAAAUGUACUACGGUUAGGACCGUGGGCCUUACGAGGUUAUGGACAGAUAGAACAAAUCAAGGCACGGCCAAAUGAUGACGAAAGGGGACGAAAUCACGUGAACACUUUUCCGUAAAAAAGUAGCAUUUUCCUCUCUGGGUAUGAACACAAUAGACAAUAUUUUUACAAAACCGAAGUUUGACAGCGAUUCAGGGACGAAAUAUGCUGUCCCUUUCUAAUAAAUAAAUAAAAUAAAAUAAAAAAUAAAAAUUAUUUAUUCUCAGACAAUUAAUAUAGUCCAUAUUUGUUAGUAUCAACUUACAACCUAUGUUAUGUUACCUUCCGCACAAUAAAUUACAGAAAUUAAAUUAAUGUAUGGCACUAUCCCUUUAGGGUUGUCAAAAUUCAAAUAAUCUUGUCUGUGGUCGUCCACGCAUAGGGACGUCAAGUUGUGCCAACCCUAAUAAUUGCUCGGAGCAAUGCUGAGCCGAAGGAAGCCGAGAAAAACCGAAAGGAGGAGUGUUGCUCCACUGCUACAGUCUCUUCGGAGUUUCUAAACAUUUAUAUGGAAUUUGUUUGACGCUAACUUUUAUAAUAGGUAAUCAAAAAUCGAAUACAGUCACAAAGGAAGGGGGCUAUGAUUAAUAUAAAUUACAUUAUACUAUGUAAAAAUAUUUUCCCCAGUAUCAAUAUCCAGGGAGGAAAAUGGGGACUACGUUUCUAUGGAGAAGCGGUUGUCCACUAUCCCCUUAAUAUACUUUUCCUUAUUACUUCAAAAAUCUAGUCUGGUGGUGUUUUGGGCAUGAAUUGUUGUAUGGAGUGAGAUGUAAAUAUGUGCAGAUGUUUCUAUGGUGUAGAUGAAUUUAAGAACAAGAAACUUAAUUAAAUAUAUGUAUUAUAAGUU